rnacentral:lncRNA from 1 species
CGUGACGUCACGGGCCACCCGCCAGCCCCGCGCUCUACCAGGCAGAGCGCGUGCGGCCGCCGAGCACAUGGACCCGCUGGUCAAGCGGGCUCGGCAAGGCCAGGAUGAAGAGAAGCUACGAACUUAGCAUUCCCAGAGCCCCCCGAGUGGAUAUCCGCGUGGAAAGGAUGUUGGCAGCCCCGGUGACCUCGGAGUCACGGCUGGAUCCACCCUCUUGUCUGAUUUUCUUAACUCGACUACGGUAAGAAGAUGCCCUCCAUCAGCAGGCCGUGUCUGCUGGCGCCUCUCUGGAGACUUCCUGAACCCUGUGGAUUUACAGUAAGAUGCAGUUUCCUGGGGAGUAAUUCUGGUGGAUACAAAUUCCGGAGUAUUACACCUGGCUUGCCUGGAGAUGUUACAAGUAACUGGAUGGAUUGAUUCUUCAGCCUGGAUGCCCACUGAAAACAAGGACCGAAACUGAGAGGAUUGUAUCUCUACCCUUGACUCAAUGAGAAUGUUUGUUGUCAUCUCUCGGGCUACCUGGAGCUCCCUCUAAAAUUAUACCCUUUAAGCGUUCCAGAAGGAUUUUGAGAUCCUUUCCUAAAUCAAAGGUGGAAUAUUUGGGGAUUUGGAAAAUUGAGCCAGUCUCUCAGAAGAACCAGUUGUGUUACUUUGCUGUGAAAUGCCUACCCUAGGAGAGGAGCAGAAGGUCAUAGAGGGUCCUCUAAUGUGAUAAUUAGAUGAGAAGCAUUGACUUAAGAGAUGCCAAGUAACUCAGCAGAUGUCACACAGACGAUAAAUAGCAAAGAUGGAAGUCUUCAUGCCGGAGGUAAUCCUAUAAGACAGCUGAGUUCUGCAGAGCUGGUAGGAGACAGACUUGCUCAGGUGAUAGAUCCAGCCAUGAUACUGACCCUAAGAGAAUGAGACACUCUGCAGAAGACAGAAGAUUCCUGAAACUGGGAAAGGUGCCUAGAAAUCCUAAGAAGAGUGAAGAAGGGUACCUGGAGGCACAACAGCCAUGUUGAACCUAUGAGGUGAUGAAAAACCAUGCAACUAGAAACCAGAAUGGAAGAAAAGAAGAGGCUGGAUCCUUGACUGAAUUGUCGAUGGGGGACAGUCCAUCAUCCCAGGGCUAAGACCACCUCCAGAUUUCUUGUUUGGUGAAACAAGUCCUGAUUGUUUACAUUCCCUCAUGUUGAGCUGUCUCUUGCUUGUAGCUGAAAGCAUUCCUAAUAGAUAUUCAGAUUAUCAGCCUUAGCUCCAAGCCAGAAUACUCUAUGGGACCUUAGCUUCUCCAUGAAUUCCUUUGCUCAUCUGUGUAAUGCUCAAUAAAUGUAAAUUGAACCCUGAAUGAGGGACAAUGACAC